rnacentral:rRNA from 1 species
GUCACCGAAGUUAAGCAUCGUAGAGCCAGGUCAGUACUUAGAUGGGGGACCGCUUGGGAACACCUGGUACUGUAAG